CUUGCUGUACUCUUUGACUACGAGGGAAACAGAAAGCAUGGUGCAGAGACAGCCAGUCUGCCAAGAGUCUGCUAAACCCCUGUGCCGGCAAUCCUUCCUUUCCAAGGUAUUCUCCAGAAGACUGUUACAUGAUCAAGCUCUUGACUGGGAGGUCAACUUGAAUGAGGUUAGCAUUCUCAUGGAGGAAAACUGGAAAUAAGCAUGCAUCGAUCAACCAGCCACAAAGACCACUGGCACAUCAGACCCUAGAUGAGAAGGCCACCUCAGCAUUCUCUACCUCCUGCCAAGAACCUUUUGCUGAGAGAGGGAUUGCUUACAAAGUAACUCAAAUAGCCUGUAAAUCCUCUGUUCUAGAUACUGUGUUAUAGCCUUCAGUCAUGCUUGUCCAGUCUGUGAUUUUUCAGCAAAACCUGGAAGAAACAGUCAUUAAAAAAAAAAUCUGUUGUUCAAUUUCCUACAUUAAAUACAAUUGGAGUCAGUAAA
rnacentral:sRNA from 1 species